rnacentral:lncRNA from 10 species
GAGAAAGCUGAGCUGCUCUGCAGUCCAGAGCAUGGGGAGUCUGGGAGGAAGUCUGGUGAUGAAGAGGGGCAGGAAAACAGAGACGUGGCCAACUAGAGGAGGCUCCUCAGAGGCUGCUGGGAUGAGGAGUGACAAAAGACCUGCAGCAGUGGCAAGCUAAGUGAGAAGGGAUAAAUGUCCCAUGGAAGUCACUUGGUAUGGUAAUGGCAAAAGAUCUCUGAAUGCAACAAGGUUUAGUGCUCAUUCUUAAGAAGUUUUGUGUAUUGUCCUAGAUAUUGAACAUUGCUGCUGCUCCCAAAACAUUCCUACUAACAAACAUCUUACGUAUGGACUGUUUGAGGUAUUGAGAUAAAAGAGAAUGACUUCUGUUUUGAGGACUGUGUGAGGAGUAGAGAAGAGACCAGGUGCCUUGAGAAAUACAGAAGGGAGAUGAGAAGGAAGGAGGCCUGAGUUUCUCAAACCCUGCACAUUCCCCAGAAAUGACUAUUUUCAGGACUGACCGUUGGCUAGUUCUUGGGAAGCAAAUGCUGAGUUUUGGAAUGUUCUGCCUGGGAAGAGUGUUUUUGUACGGCUGAGGCCUUACGCCACAUGGCACCGGUUGAACAGCUUGUUAAUGCUAGCAAUGUGAUUUAUGUUGAAUGCCUAAUUCUGCUCUGGAGAACUGGAAUCUGAGUAUCUGAGUUCAGCCAUAUAAAUGCUUCAGGUCUGCAGGACUGGCUCCCAACAAGAACCCUGGACACAAAGGCUCAGGAAAAGCAGUUGAAAUACCAUUAGUUAACAGAUUGCCCAAUGAAGUCGAUGACAACUGUGAUAACAAGUUACUCACUAUCACAGCGUCUCCAAGAGAUGAACAGUGGAUGAUGCUUCCAAAGCACAGAUGUCCCUCUCCUCCUCAACCUUCUCUCCCCAGAAAGAUGUCAACACUGUGGAGAUUGUGCUAUGAAGAUACCUGGUGUGGCAUUGCAAUAGAUGAAAUAUUAAGGGCAAUUCAACAAUUUUCUGAACAAAUACAUGGAUUUAACUUGAAGUUGAAUUUAAUUUGACUUCAAGAAAAAUUAUAUUUCUGGUCCUCCUAUGAUCAUGCACUAAGAAUUAUUUAACUGCAGAUACAAUUGUUACCUUUAGAGCUAGAAGGCCUCAUUUUAGAAUUAAAAUGAAUGGCAACCCAGACAGAUAAAGUCGAGUCGUGAUCAUCCCACUGCGGAGGCAGAGCCAGUGCUGGCCAUCCCCCGACCACCCCAACACACUCCAGGUCUCACACAUUUAAUCUCUCUCUCUGCCAAGGGAAUUUUUUCUUUCCAUUUAUUCUUAGAAACAACUAAGGGAGUUUUAAGUUAAAUACAUGCUGCCAAAUUGAAUCCAAGGAAACUAAAGUCAAAUAUAUUAGCAAACACUUAAUGUCCUCUCCAUUUUGACAUUUCUCCCUCAAUUCCUAUUUCUGAGUAAAGGCUGUUCAGAUGAAUAAAAACAUAUUUUCAGAAAUCUGAGCUCAUAAGACCUAUAGGUCUGUGAAGUCACAGACCGUGCACUGUCAGCAGUCAGCAAUUCUGCUGGGUUGAAUUGGCAUGUUUCAAACUAUGUAUUUUUGUUAAAAAAAAAAAAAAAGGUGUGUAAAUGCAUUUACAAAAUAGUUUGUACUCUUUCCCAGUAAUUCAUAGUUGCCUUCACAGCACCCAGUUCCGGAUUUCACACCAAGCCUUUGCUGAGGAUAUGAGAGUAAUAAAAAGGGGAGCCCUGGUUCUUCCUCUCCUUUAGUGUCUUUCCUGGAAGUGGACUGCGAGAAGAGCUUCUUCAGCCACCUUCUGCCUGCAGACAACCUCCAUGAGUUUGCUUUAGAAGAAGGCUUCAAUUUGAAGAAAGUCAAAUAAAACAAGGUAGACUAUCAUUCCCAUAGAUGCAAAAGAAGGUGAACCCAGAUUCAGAUCCUAAGUCAGCCAUUCUGCAGGGAACUCUUAGGUGUCCAGGUCAGAGGCUCUACUCAAACUGCCUCAUCAAUAUUGAUUCCUCAGUUGUUGCAAAUAUACCACACUCAUGCACGUUGUUAAUAAUAAAAGGGGAACUGUAGAGGACGGGGUGGUGUAUAUGAGAACUCUGUACUUUCUGUGUAAUUUUUCUAUAAACCUAAAAUAGCUCUAAAAAUAAAGUUUAUUCAGAAACAAAAAAAUUAAUCAUCUAUCCUGAG